UACGGAGGGUGCAAGCGUUAAUCGGAAUCACUGGGCGUAAAGCGCUCGUAGGCGGUCUGUUAAGUCAGAUGUGAAAUCCCUCGGCUCAACCGGGGAACUGCAUUUGAUACUGGCAGACUUGAGUGUCGGAGAGGGUGGCGGAAUUCCGGGUGUAGGAGUGAAAUCCGUAGAUAUCCGGAGGAACACCAGUGGCGAAGGCGGCCACCUGGACGACAACUGACGCUGAGGAGCGAAAGCGUGGGUAGCAAACAGG
rnacentral:rRNA from 1 species